UGCUACCAUUUUUACUUCUUGCUUGUUUCAAUCAGGCAUAUUAGGUUUUGUACUAAUCUGCUAGGGUUUUGCUUCACCUACGAAGCAAUUUCCUUCUUCUCUGUUUUGGUUGGGGUUGGGUGGGGUUAAGUUUGGUUAAACAAUUCCCCUUUUGGAUUAGAGGGGACAUAGGAUAAGUAGCAGCUUCUAUAACUGUUGUUAUGCAAAAAAAAAUUAAUCCUAUACCAGCAGUAAUACACUAAUACUACUAUACUCUGCUUUGUACUUCUAUAAUACAUAAGAAUACAUAUAAUCAAGUAUAAACAUAAUCCGCCUAAUUUUCUCAUGGCAGCUUGAAUCAACAUGAAUUGAGGGGUGUGAGGCAAUCAUAAUAUGAUGGGAAGUAAACUCAGGGAAACAUGUACACAACACAUUAGCAAAGCUAGAAUGCAACAAAUGAUGAAGUUUAGAGCUUUAGUGUUUUUUACACUAGUUUCUGAAUCUGAUUGUACAUGCAUACCUUUCUUGAAGGCCCAGAGCCUGUUUUGGCUGGAGGAUUUUUCAACUGCCACAAAGAAUAAUGAAGUAAGUUGGAGAAACACGAUUCAUGAGCUAACAACAAAAAUAUACUAGAAAGUAAAAAAAAUAGUGGCAAGCUCAAAAAGCAGAAUCUGUGGAUGUAGUUAAAUAUUCUGCAAUGAUAACAAGCCAAAUAUACUUUCCAAAUUAUGCAAAGGGGCUCACGGCAAGUGGCAAUAACUUUCUGCAAUUGUUCCUUCUUUCUGUCAAGUUAUUUCAAUUGUCUUAUGCAAUGAUUCUGCAAUUAUUCUGCAAUUGUUUCUGCAAGUGGCAUAUAUGUGGAUGUAGUUAAAUAUUCUGCAAUGAUAACAAGCCAAAUAUAACUUUCUGCAAAGGGGCUCAUGAGAAAUUGUCUUAACUUUCUGUCAAGUUCAAUUCACCUAUUCCUCAUCAAUUUCACCAUAUAUGUCAAUCAUUGUCAUAACUUACAACUACUUAGUUAUUUUAGGUAUUGUGCCUUCUUUGUUGUUUGAAUCUAAAUAAUAUACCCUUAAAGUACUGAAAGCUAUUACAAAGUUUUAAAUUACAUAGACAUCCGAAAUUUUCAUAGGAAAAUGUUUGAAUCUAAAUAAUGUACCCUUAAGGUACAGAAAAAGAGCAGGACCAGCUAUACUAUUACAUAGUUCUAAAUUUCAUAGACAUCUGAAAUCAGUGUAGAAGCCGGCUCAACUCCUUAAGCCAUGGGAUGAUCCUGUCAUUGGUGUCACACAGUCGAUGUAAGUUGUUUACAUGCAUGCUGGACUAAUUCAUGAUCAACCCUAUUACACGAUCUAUUCUCUAUUACAGUGGACAAACUCCACCUCUUUAAGCUUAAUGCCAAGCAGUUCAGCCUCGGUUAAACCAAUUGUCUUUUUUAUUUUAGAGCUUAGUUCACUGAUAAUUGUUUUGUUUUUUCUCUGAAAAAUUAGAGAAAUUAAUAACUUAUUUUCCUGUUCCUACAACUUAAUAAAGUCUCAUUACAAGUCAUGUUUUUAAGCAGGCUAUGCGUUCUUUCUCCGAGAAAGGUAAUCCUUCUUUUAUCAAUUUGAAGAAAACCAUUUGUAUUAUGAUUUUUCUAUCCUAAUUCCUAGAAACUGAAUUCUGAAUUUUCUAUUUCUUGUAAUGUUCAUUUCAGAUAUUCUUUCUCUAAUUGCUAAACUUGUACUAAGGGGUGUUGAACAAAAAGAUUUUUGUCGGAGGCGUUGCUUGGGAGACAACUGAAGAUUUAUAUGAGCCAGCAACUUAAUGAUUGCACCAGCUGAAGUUGGUGCAUAAGGCUGCAACACCAUCUAGUGGAGGGUGUUCUGGACAAAGAAAGCUUGUACCUUAAAACAGGAGGAUACAAGAAGCUGGAGUGGUUGUCUGAAGGCUUUUGAACUGCUUGAAGCAUUAGUGUAGCUUUGGUGCUUUUGUGACUGAUCAGCUCUGGAGCAGCUAGAGUGAUAUAGUUGUGGGCUUUUGAACAAUAGUUGGAGUGAUAUGAAACAUUAGUGAUCUAGUUGUGAAUGAUAUUAUAAUUGUGAUGCUUUUGUGAAUAUAUAAUUGUGGUGCUUUUGUGUUUAUGUGAUGGAUCUAUGACUGUGGUAUACUGAUUAACUGUGUAUGUCUUUAUGAUUUGUGUAUAAAAAUCAGUGAUUUGUGGUGC